rnacentral:rRNA from 1 species
CGGCCGUACUCCCCAGGCGGUCGACUUAUCGCGUUAGCUGCGCCACUAAGAUCUCAAGGAUCCCAACGGCUAGUCGACAUCGUUUACGGCGUGGACUACCAGGGUAUCUAAUCCUGUUUGCUCCCCACGCUUUCGCACCUCAGUGUCAGUAUCAGUCCAGGUGGUCGCCUUCGCCACUGGUGUUCCUUCCUAUAUCUACGCAUUUCACCGCUACACAGGAAAUUCCACCACCCUCUACCGUACUCUAGCUCAGUAGUUUUGGAUGCAGUUCCCAGGUUGAGCCCGGGGAUUUCACAUCCAACUUGCUGAACCACCUACGCGCGCUUUACGCCCAGUAAUUCCGAUUAACGCUUGCACCCUUCGUAUUACCGCGGCUGCUGGCACGAAGUUAGCCGGUGCUUAUUCUGUUGGUAACGUCAAAACAGUAAGGUAUUAACUUACUGCCCUUCCUCCCAACUUAAAGUGCUUUACAAUCCGAAGACCUUCUUCACACACGCGGCAUGGCUGGAUCAGGCUUUCGCCCAUUGUCCAAUAUUCCCCACUGCUGCCUCCCGUAGGAGUCUGGACCGUGUCUCAGUUCCAGUGUGACUGAUCAUCCUCUCAGACCAGUUACUGAUCGUCGCCUUGGUAGGCCUUUACCCCACCAACUAGCUAAUCCGACCUAGGCUCAUCUGAUAGCGUGAGGUCCGAAGAUCCCCCACUUUCUCCCUCAGGACGUAUGCGGUAUUAGCGCCCGUUUCCGGACGUUAUCCCCCACUACCAGGCAGAUUCCUAGGCAUUACUCACCCGUCCGCCGCUGAAUCCAGGAGCAAGCUCCCUUCAUCCGCUCGACUUGCAUGUGUUAGGCCUGCUGCCAGCGUUCAAUCUGAGCCAGGAUCAAACUCUC